CUUCCAAGUACGCAUAGUUGUUACAUUUGAGGUUUUUUUCUUUUAUCUUUAUUACCAGAGAAAAAUUUGGCUCGUGGUGAUAGUCUUGGAUAUCACCUUCAUCCCCUCGGAUGUUUGUAGAUAAUCCUCCAUUAUAUUUGGAAUGAAUACUGUAGAUAUAUGAGGUUGGACUAUCCUACGUUUUGCUUGUUUAUGGGUUUUGCAUCUUGAUGUCUUCCUGAAGUAUUCUUCAUGGGGAAUUUCCAAAUCAACCACAAUCACAAACUCCUGAACUCUGCUUAUGAUUUCUCAGUAUCAUCCCAAGCUUUGGAACACAGUACCAAGAAGAUAUUCAAGACUUAUUUUCCAGGCUCUGUACUAGGAUCAUGAGUAACACACAUUGUUAUGGAUUGAACUGUGUUUCCCCCAAAAUUAGCAUGUUGGAAUCCUACCCACCAGUAUACCUCAGAACGUAACUUUAUUUGGAGAUAUGGUCUUUAGGGAGAUGAUUAAACUAAGAUGAGGUCAUUAGGGUAGGCCCUUAUAGGAAAAAGAAAUAUUGGCUGGGCACGGUGGCAUGUGGUGGCUCACACCUGUAAUCCCAGCACUUUGGAAGGCCAAAGCGAAUGGAUUGCUUGAGGUCAGAAGUUCAAGACCAGCCUGGCCAAUAUGGCAAAACCCUGUCUCUACUAAAAAUACAGAAAUUAGCUGAGCGUGGUGGUGUGUGCCUGUAAUUCCAGCUACUUGCAAGACUGAGGCAUGAGAAUCACUUGAACCUGGGAAGCAGAGGUUGCAGUGAGCCAAGAUUGUACCACUGUACUCCAGCCUGGGUGAAAAAAAGAAAGGAAGGAAGGAAGGGAGGGAGGGAGGGAGGGAGGGAGGGAAGGAAAGAAGGAAAUAAAUAUGUACACAGACAUCUACAGAGGGAAGACUAUGUAUAGACAAAGGAUGAAGAAACCACCUACAAGGCAAGGAGAGAGGCUUUAGAAGAAAUGAAACCUACCAAAACCUUGAUCUCAGACUUCUAGCACCCAAAGUUGUGAAAAAAUAAAUUUUGGUUGUUUGAGCCACCCAGACUUGGUACUUUGUUAUGGCACCACAGGCAGACUAAUAUAUACAUUUCCUUACAUCAAUUUAAAUAAAAAUUGGUGUUAAACAAUGACUGUUUAAAAAAGAAGACAGAGGUAGAAAGAUCAAGAAAUUAUCACUGAAUUCUUAUUUUAGAGAAAUAAAAAAUACAAACAUUUUUCUUUCAAGCCAGUAACAACUAUCAAUUAAGUCAAGCUAAAAUAUUUAUUUUAAAUCUAUAUAUUCUAAAAAAAAAAUAAAACAAGCCUUAAAAAAUAUCUUUAACAUAGUGUAAUUCCAACUUUAUUAGGAUGUAACAUAACAAGCUGAUGAUGCAACCCAAAGAAUUACAAAAACAAAAACCCAAAAUUUGUAGAAGGAAAGAAAGAUCACAACUAAACAAAAUAAAGACUGAAAACACAAUACAGGCUGGGCACAGUGGCUCACACCUGUAAUCCCAGCAUUUUGGGAGGCCAAGGUGGGUGCAUCACCUGAGGUCAGGAGUUUGAGGCCAGCUUGGCCAACAUGGUGAGACCCCCAUCUCUGCUAAACAUACAAAAAUUAGCCAGGCAUGGUUAUACAUGCCUGUAAUCCCAGCUACUCAGGAGGCUGAGGUAGGAAAUUGCUUCAACCGGGGAAGAGGAGGUUACAGUGAGCUGAUAUCGCACCACUGCACUCCAGUCUGGGCAACGGAGUGAGACUCUGCCUCAAAAAAAAAAAAAAAAAAAAAAAAUCCCCAAAAACAAAAAACAAAAACAAACCAAAAAAUACAAAGAUCAACAAAAUGAAGUUUGGUUGUAAACCACCCAAAAAUAAUAAUCAUCAUCAAUAAACCACUAAACAAAAAAAAGAGCCACCAAAUAAAGUGAGAAACAAACAAGGAGACAUUAUAACUGAUACUACAGAAAUACAGAGGAUGAUGAGAAAUUAUUAUGAACAACUAUAUGCUGAUAAAUUGGAACACUUAGAGGAAGUUGUUAAAUUCCAGGACACAUACAACCUACCAAGAUCGAAAGAGGAGGAAAUAGAAAAACUUAACAGAUGAAUAAUUAUUAACGAGAUUGAAUCAGUAAUAAAAAGUCUCUCAAGAACGAAAAGCCCAGGACCAGAUAGAUUCACUGUCGAGCUCUACCAAACAUAUCAAGAAGAACUGAUACUAAUCCUCCUCAAACUACUCCAGGAAAUUGAAGAGAAGGAAAUUCUUCCUAACUCAUUAUUUGAGGCAAGCAUCACCCUGAUACCAAAACCAGACAAGAAUACAACAUAAAAAUAAAGCAGAGACACAAAACCCCCGAAGAAAACAUUAGCAAACCAAAUCUAGCAGCAUAUCAAAAGAUAAAACACCACAGUCAAGUGGGAUUUUUCCCAGGGAUGCAAGAUGGUUCAACAUAUGCAAAUCCAUAAAUGUGAUACAUCACUAUCAACAGAAUAAAGGCCAAAAACCAUAUGAUCCUCUUAAUAGACAUAGAAAAAGCAUUUGAUAAAAUUCAGCAUUCCUUUUUCACAAAAGCUCUCAACAAAUAAGGUAUAGAGAGACAUACCUCAACACAAUAAAAGCUAUAUGUGAUAAACCCACAGCUAGCAUUAUACUGAAUGGAGAAAAGCUGAAAGCCUUUCCUCUAAGAGGACAAGAAGAGGAUGCCCACUUUCUCUACUCCUAUCCACCACAGUACUGGAAGUCCUAGCCAGAACAAUCAGGCAAGAGAAAGAAAUAAAAGACAUCCAAAAUGGCAAAGAAAUUAAAUUGCUGUUCUAUCAUAGAUGACAUAAUCUUAUAUUUAGAAAAACAUAAUGACUCCAACAAAAAAACUCUUAGAAUUGAUAUUUAGUAAGGUUGCAGAAAACAAAAUUCAACAUACAAAAAUCAGUCAUAUUUUCAUAUACAAAUAACUAGCUGAAAAAGAAAUCAGGAAAGCAAUCCCUUUUACAAUAGCUACAAAAAGUAAAAUAAAAUACCCAGGAGGCAAAGGCCUCUACAACAAAAACUACAAAACGCUAAUGAAAGAAACUGAAGAGGACAUUAAAAAAUGGGAAGACAUCCAUGCUCAUGAAUCAAAAGAAUAUUGUUAAAAUGACCACACUAUAUCCAAAGCAAUCUACAGAUUCAAUACAAUCCCUAUCAAAAUACCAAUGAUAUCCUUCACAGAAAUAGAAAAAAAAACCAAUCCUGAAAUGUGUAUGGAACCACAAUAGAUCCCAAAUAGCCAAAGCAAUCCUGAAAAAAAAGAACAAAGCUAGAUGCAUCAUACUAACCUGACUUCAAAAUACACCAAAGCUAUAGUAACCAAAACAGUACAGCAUUAGUUUAAAACAGACACAGAAGACAAUACAAUGAAAUAGAGAACCAAGAAAUAAAUCCACAUAUUUACAGUCAACUGAUUUUCAACAAAGGUGCCAGGAAUAUACAUGGGGAAAAGGACAUACCUUUGACAAAUGGGAAAACAGGACAUCCACAUGCAGAAGAAAGAAACUAAACUCCUAUCUCUCAUCAUAUACAAAAAUAAACUCAAAAUAGGUUAAAGAUAUAAAUGUAAGAUGCAAAACUAUGAAAAUAACUGGAAGAAAGCAGAGGAAAUGCUUCAGGACAUUGGUGUCAAAAAGCAUUUUAUGGCUAAGACUCCAAAAGCACGAACAAGAACAAAAAUAGAGAAAUAGUACUUACUAAAGGAAAAAGCUUCUGCACAGCAAAGAAAAUCAACAGAGUAAGGAGACAAUCUGUUGAAUACAAGAAGAUAUUUGCAAACUUUCAUUCAACAAGGUACUAAUAUUUAGCAUAUACAAGGAACUCAACAGCAAAAAAACAAGUAAUCCCAUUAAUAAGUAGGCAAAGGACACGAAUAGGCAUUUCUUACAAGAUGACACACAAACGGCCAACAGGUAUAUUAAAACAAAUGUUCAACAUCACUAAUCCUCAGGAAAAUGUAAAUCAAAACCACAUGAGUUAUCAACUCACCCCAGUUACAGGGCUAUUAUCAAAAACACAAAAAAUAACAAAUGCUGCAAGAGGAUGCAGAAGAGAGGGAACUCUUAUACGCUGCUAGUGGAAAUUUAAAUUAGUACAAGACCUCUAUGAAAAACAGUAUGGAGAUUUCUCAAAAAACUAAAAAUAUAACUACUAUGCUACUCAGCAUAUCAAAGGAAUAUAUGUACCCCAAUGUUUGUUGCAGCACUCUUCAUAAUAGCCAAUAUACAAAAUCAACCUAAGCAUCUAUCAAUGGAUGAAUGAAGAAAAUGUGGCAUACUACACAAUGGAAUACUACUGAGUCAUAAAAAUGAAUGAAAUUCUGUCAUUUGCAGUAACAUGGAUAGAACUGGAAGUCAUUAUUUUAAGUUAUAUAGGCCAGGAAGAGAAAGACAAAUAUUGCAUGUUGUCACUCACAUAAUGAAAGAUAAAGAAAACUGAUUUCUUAAAGAUAAAGAAGAGAAUGAUGACUAACAGAAGCUGGGAAGUGUAGUGGAGAAAGAAAUAAAGGGAGGUUAGUGGGUACAAACAUACAGUCAGAUAGAAGAAAUAAGUUUUAAGGUUCAAUAGCCUAAUAGGUUGACUAUUCGUAGUUAACAAUAUAUUGCAUAUUUUACAAUAGCUAAAAGAGAGGACGUGAAAUGUCCUCAAAGUAAAAAAAAAAUGUUUGAGAUGAUUGAUACCCUCAAUACCCUGAUUUGAUUACACAUUGUAUCAAAGUACCCAUAAAUAUGUAUAAAUACAUACCAAUUUUUAAAAAUCAGAUUUUCCUGAACUCUAAUGCAAUAGGCACAUGCAUUAUUUUCUCCUUACUUCUGUUUGAGAAUAUAGAUAUACAUACAUUUACUUAUUUCCAUCUGGAAGUAGAAAAUUUCAAUUAUGCACUUUAUGGUAGAUGAAACACGGUGGAAAUGUACUUGUUACAUGCCUCCCUAAUCACGCAACAUAAUUCUCAUUGACAGCUGCUUAUCUAACACAACAUUAGCCAUUGUGUACCAAAAUCAAAGUCAUACAUGUCUCUCAUUUGCAUAGUUAUAUUAAUCAAUUAUGAGUUAACAAUACUCUCUUAACCGUACUCUAAAUCUGAUGGCUACAGAUAUAGAACUUAAAAGUUUUGGCUGCUUCACUGGUCCACAAUGUACUAGAGAAGACAAUAUCCUCAAAUACCAAAGACAAUUAGUAUUUAUUGAAGCACAUAUGAUAUUAAUCCAGAACUUCUCAGGAGGUCAGUUGUCCUUUUGUGCAGGACUCUUCAAUGCUAUAGCUAUGUACUAUUAGGUCCAAGUGGAGGAAGUAAGAGAAGACACGGAGGCUUUUCCAAGCAAAAUAUCUUCCUCUUCCUCUACUUCUUUCAAGGAGUUGAUGGUAGCACAGAGGGAGGAAGAAUUAGAAUUCAAGCCAUCUCCCCUGAAGGGUGCAUUAAGGAAUACCUAGUUUGAAAUUCUGAAUGUCAGAGUUUUGACUAUAUCCAUCCAUCUGCCAGACUCCUUUUAAAUUUUCUCAAAUUUCAGUCCAGUUGUAAGUGCAACAGAAUUUCUUCAGGGUUCAACUCCCUGAUUAAUGUUAUUUGCAAACUAAAUAUAGCCACUUUUCAUUUGAAUACAUGAUUCAACAAAAUGUAGUUAUAUAUAAUGUGGUUUCAUAAAUGUUCAAUUCCAGUGUUAUUCUAACUAAAAUCUCUCAUAAGCAAAAUGAUGUAUAAAUCUCAAAGUUCAUAAAAGAGGCCAAAACCCAAUCAGUAACACAAGUAUCUUUAAAAAAUUCCUUACUUUCCUUGAACAUUGGAUCUCUUGGUAUAUAGAAAGUAUACUGUCCUCUAUAGACAGAAAAUGGAUGUAAUCAGGGGUCUUUUGAUUUAAUUUCACAAAACAGUAAUACGUAAAGUUUCUAAUACACACAGCUUCUGCUUUACCAUAUGACAGACCCACGACACAUUAAGGAGCAAGGAAUAUGCAUAUGCCUGUAUCAAUUAAUCACCUCUAGUAAGAAUGGUAUUUGUAUUUUACAAGAAACUCAGUAACAAUGGAAGAAAGGCAAACAAACACUAAGGUAGAUCCUCAAGCAGGUGGGCAAAAUAUCGAGAAAUCUGUCUCCAAUUUUCUUGGAAACACUCAACACCAUGCAAUUCUUCCAUCGAGCCUCAUGGUCCACUGUACUGACCUCUUGAGUCAAAGUUAGAUGUGCCUCCAGAAAUAAGAAACAUAUCAAAUCCAAAAGUAGCCAUUUCCAAAAGAUGUUUCAAGUUGUAACCAUUCAAAGUAAGAGCAGUGGCUUCCAUUAUUCUAUUGCAUUCUUUGAAUCAAAAGCCAAUCUUAGAGUCUAUUCUCUGUCUCACAUGAAAGAAUUUUAAAAUAAUAUUAAAGAGAAUCACCACUAUUGAGUCCUGAUAUCUCUAAGUUUCAUCUGUAAAGGAUACUCAAGGUUUGUCUGAACACCUUGCAAUAGGAAGCUAUUAGACUAGGAAAAGGAAGGCAGGCAGUAAAUAAAGGAAGGACAACCAACAAGGCAUUACUACAAUAUAAAUGGACGGAGACAACAAAUAAAGACAUGCAAGAAAACCAUACACGCCCACACUGAAAGGUCAAAGUGGUCUUCUGAAAAGCUAACACAGAAGCUAACUGAGCAUGUUUCAACUGGAGGACAAUGGCACAUAGGCAGAUUUUUAAAAGACACUUAAUAUUAUCAGAUCUUAACCACAUUUUUAAGUGAGUCACUGAAUAUAGGAUGAAGUUUCCUACCUUAGAACUAAAAGUAAGGACCAGGCAUGUGACAUCUUGUCUCCGGCACAUGUUUUUACAUGUAAGUGGUAUAGUCAAGCAUAUGACUGUUUUCUAACUAAAUGAUAGCUUUCUUUCCCCUUCUUUCUUGCCUAUUAAACUCCCUGCUCCUUAAAACUAUUCCACGUGUGUCCAUGUCAUUUUUUCUAAUUCAACUCAAAAUGAAAAGCCUGGUGUUCUCUACUCAUCAGAGCUGUAUCAAUACCAUACUUUUUUU
rnacentral:lncRNA from 1 species